UACGUAGGGUGCGAGCGUUGUCCGGAAUUAUUGGGCGUAAAGAGCUCGUAGGCGGUGUGUCACGUCGGCCGUGAAAACCUGCAGCUUAACUGUGGGCGUGCGGUCGAUACGGGCAUCACUGGAGUUCGGCAGGGGAGACUGGAAUUCCUGGUGUAGCGGUGAAAUGCGCAGAUAUCAGGAGGAACACCGGUGGCGAAGGCGGAUCUCUGGGCCUUACCUGACGCUCAGGCGCGAAAGCUAGGGGAGCGAACAGG
rnacentral:rRNA from 1 species